rnacentral:lncRNA from 1 species
AACAAACCUUGCACGAGGGUAAACGGCUGCUGAGCCCCGGGCAAAGGUGAAGCAGGCUGCCCCGACAUCUCACCUCCCAGCCCUGAGCUGGCCCCAGCACACACCAGGAGGUGGCUGUGGGAGGAGAAGCACUUAGCUGGAAUGAAAAAUGCACAAGGAGCAGCCUGAUGAUUUUUUUAACCAAGUUUGCAGUUUCUUGCUUGAACGCCGGUGUCAGACGUCGCCACCUCCUCGCUGACCUGUGCUCCUCAGCGACCAUCCUUCAUGCAGGAGGUGCGACCCCAGGACAGCUGCGUCACCAGCAAUGUGGACAGGCAACGAGGGAGACCUCCCCAGUGCAAGGUGUACCUGCAGCAAUCCAUCAACAGAGCGGUAAAGCGGAGGAGCCAUUUAGGUGGACACGACUCCAAAUGCUCAGAAUGAGGCACUUACCGUCAGCCACCCAAUAAUGGAAAGCGACAGAAAUGGCCAAUUAGAAGCCGAAGACGGAUGGCACCAAACUUGUCGACAAACAAGCUCCAGACUAAAGAACUGCACACAGGUCCCAGCGCAGACCAGCAUCGUUUUUCCUGGCAGACAGGUACCUGUGAGGGCACACACCUAAUGUCAUGCAGAGCUGACAGUUUAAGUUCCUUACCCACCAUUGGCACACGAGUGGGACAAUCUUUGGCCGUGCUGAAUUAAUGUAACUGCUCCCAGCACCCGGAGCCUUGGCUAGGGCAGC